CUGGAGCCGCUUCGUCUCCUCCUUCCCCCAGCGGGCAGGGCUCAAGCGGAGCGCAUGGGAGCUCCCCCUCUCUCUCUCUCUCUCUCUCUCCCCUCUCCCUCGUCUCUUCACAGCGGGGUGAGGGAGCAGCGCUGUGGGCGGUGGAGGAGGUGCGUGGCGGUCCAGGAAGCUCUCAUUCCGCUUCGCCCCGAGUCUCCCCGUCUGGUGCGCGUGUGUCUCCUUCUCCUUCCCCUGGCUCCUCUCUCCUUCUCUCCUCCCCUCUCAUUGAUUCCUCUUUCCGCCUGCUCUCUCCCCUCUUAUCGCUCCUUCUUUCCGCUUCCUUUUUUGUUGUUGUACGCCUCUUCUUCUUCACCAGUCGGGAUAUUUAAAAAAAGCUGCACGCAUCGACAGGUGAGGACCCCCCGGAGCUAGGAAGGGGCCCUUAUGACAACAUGCAUCAAUCAAUCAACAGAGCCUCCUCCUCCUCGUGGUUGUGCUCUGAUCCCUCUCAGUAAACUCCUCUCAUUGACGGUGUGAAACACGUGGGCUCGCGUUGUGUUCCACACAAUAUGGCUUCACAUCGCACAUUGAACCGGCAACCUAAAUAAAGUUUUAUGACCAACUGGAGACAGCCUCAUUUAAAAUGUGUACAUAGACCGAGACGACCGCCGCACGGCGGCCGCAGCCAUCAAACCCAGCCGCUGUGCCGGGCCUUGGAGUUUGGACUUCAAACCGGACCACGUGCUCACUGGAAGCCGAGCAACGGCGUCCCAUCCAAUCAGAUAACGCCCACCGUGCUCAGCACUGGGAUUAGAGUACGGACACACGGUGCAAUGGGCGUCAACUCAAACACCAGUAAGAAGAACAAAUAAACAGUCACAACUGUGUCCUGCAAGAGUGCAACUGCCUACGUAAUUACACAACCUCUCUCACUCCUCACGAAGCAGAGGAGGCCUUUCCACUGGAAAAAAAAUUUAAAAAUAAACUUGGAAGGCGUAUUAAAUGAACAUCGAAUCCCCCGCCGCGGCUCCCGGGAUGAUGGGUUAAAACGAGCGAGCGGUGGCAGGCUCGGCGUCCGCGUCGAGGAUUUCAAAAUAUUUUUUUCUCAACUGAAAAAUGUUUGCCUGCGUACGUGCGUUAAAAAAAAAAUAGAGAAGAAAAGCAAAAGUGAGACAAAAAAGAGAAAUAACAGUCCACACACACACACACACAGUGCCAUGUAACUUCAACGGUCACAUGGCACGACGCCACUGCUCCUCAGCCACUAAGCGGUUAAUAUGCAAAGCUCCGUGUGAGGGGGGCGUGGCUUCGUUUAGCACAGAUGAGGGAGGGGAGGAAAGAGUGUGUGUGUGUGUGUGUGUAUAGAGAGAGAGGUGAGGUGGCUGCAGAGGCACAGGUGUCUGAACACUCCAUUACUUCCUCGUCAAAGUGCCCGUCUCAGUGCGCCGCCGCCGCGCUCAUUUCUUGCCCGUGACACCGUGGGAGUCUCUCUCUCCGCUAACCUGCAUCCCCAUUAGGGAAAUGAGAGCUCCGAGAUAAGCAAUUAAGUGAAGAUGACUAGAGGGCCAGCAGCACCCACUGGCACGUCAGAGUCCAUACACACACACACACACACACAUGGAAGUUAAGCCAAUGUGUGCUGAUUUACUUUGAUACACGGCCAAUGUACCUCAAUGUCGUCAUUCAGCAUGAUAUAAAUGCUCGUUGAUCAAUUAAACCAACAAUUAAAAUAAAAACAGCCCUUGCCAACCACAAUAGUGACGCGCUGUGAUUGGAUCUCUCGCAUCCAUCGGACGGCGACCAGCGUUUCAUAGUACAGGGGUCUUACACAUUUUGACUGAUGGAUUUCCAGGACUUUAAACCAAAUGUCCAUGACCAAACUGAAAUCUCGGUAAAAACAUGACAAAUUUAGAACAUUUUGUGUAUUGAGAGCAUAUGCCGGCUUAUAUUUUGAGCAUCUUUCUUUAAAAAACAUAUUAAUUAUUUCAAACUCGGUGUAAAUGAACACGUGAUCAUAACACAUUUCCAUGACUUUUCCAAAACUUUUAUGAUUUAAGAUUUUUCCAUGACUUUUCCAGGCCUGGAAAUGACCAUUUUAAAAUUCCAUGACUUUUCCAGGUUUUCCAUGACCGAACGAACCCUGAUAGUAACAGAUUAGCAUGUCGUCUUAUCCGUCAGAUUGUGCAUGAAUGAUGCAUUCUGGGAGCCAUUUGGACUCCUGAAGGUUGAGCGAGUGAAUCUGUUUUCACACAGUUUUACAGAAAAAGAAAGAAGAAAAAAAGGUGUUGCUAUCAGCUGUUAAUUAGCGAACGCUCGUGCAGGUGUUGGAUGUCAGACCAUUAAAAACCGUUGCCCUCUCCGACGCCUUCACGGGAUACCAAAAGGUGAGAUAAACAAACGGCGCCCGAUGGCCUCGGCUUCCACCUUUCCUCGGAACACAUUACUCGGCUUCGUCGCCGUCAUCGCCGGAUCUCACGUCCACGGCGCCGCUACGUCUCGGCGCAAAGGGGUCGGGACCACGCUAAUGAGGCUCGCGGGCCAGUUUGGCGGCGGCGAUGGAGCGAGAGGAGACACGGUGCACGGCAACGCUUCCACGACCAAUGAAAAGACAGCGCCGUGCGGGAAGGAUCCUUUAUUCGGGGGCCCGGCGUGACGGCGCGGCCUCCAGGACGCUGCUGAACGUCGUCACGGAGCAUCAUCACGACUGAUCUGCUCCACUGUGACCAGAAAGACGUUCAACAAAUGUAGAAACUCGAAAAACAUACAACUUCAGUUGCAGAAUCAUGGUUAAAAAAAAUGAGGUGUUUAUUUUCUCAGUUGCCUGAGGAUGCGUGUUGUCGUGAGACGCUCCAGUGAUGCUGUCGUUCACUUUCUUGGCUACAAUAAACCAAUUUAAAUGAUAUAUUAUUGAUUGCAAACUAGAGUAGCUCCAUUUACAAAUUCCAAAUUCACUAUGACGAUUCAAAGGUAUAAACAUAAUUCAAUUCAGUUUAUUUUGAAUAGCCCAAUAUCACAAAUUUGCCUUCAGAGGGCUUUACAAUCUGUACACAUAAGGCAUCCCUGACCUUUGACCUCACAUCGGAUCAGGAAAAACUCCCUAAAAGAAAUAGAAAAAAUCCUUUCAGUGGGUAAAAAAGUGAAGAACUCUUCAGGAGAGAAACAGAGGAGGAUCCCUCUCCAGGAUGGACAGGAGAAUAGACGUCAUGUGACCAGAAGGAAUCUACACAAUUAAAUAAGCACAUUCAAUGAGUAUGACAGAGUGUAUGAAUAGUUACUAAUAACUUUCCUCCACCUCUCAAAAUGUGCAACAUCCCCUCUUUCUCUCCUCUUUCUUUUCACAAGCUAUGAACAGCGCUCAGCACGAGCCUAUUUAUUUAUUAACCUCUGCCCUCUCCUUUUUUAAGUUGAUAACCUGUUUUUUUUAAACUAUACCUAAUACUGUGUAUAUACUACCACCUUAAAUACAGUGUAUUUUUAUUUUUCUUCUAAUUAUUAUAGUGUGUUUGCCCUGCAAAACAAUUCCAAUGUGUCUGGACUGUUGGUCGAGGCAUAAAAGGCAAAUAAAAAACCUUGAA